rnacentral:rRNA from 1 species
CGCAGGCGGGAGGAUAGGUCGGAUGUGAAAACCUUGGGCUCGACCCAGGCCCUGCAUCUGAAACCAUCCUUCUUGAGUAUCGGAGAGGGAAGCGGAACUCCAGGUGUAGCGGUGAAAUGCGUAGAUAUCUGGGGGAACACCGGUGGCGAAGCCGGCUUCCUGGACGAAUACUGACGCUCAGGCACGAAGGCUAGGGGAGCAAACAGGAUUAGAUACCCUGGUAGUCCUAGCGGUAAACGAUGGGCACUAGGUAUCGGGGGUAUCGACCCCCUCGGUGCCGUAGCUAACGCAUUAAGUGCCCCGCCUGGGGAGUACGGCCGCAAGGCUGAAACUCAAAGGAAUUGACGGGGGCCCGCACAAGCAGUGGAGUGUGUGGUUUAAUUCGAUGCAACGCGAAGAACCUUACCUGGGCUUGACAUAUACAGGAAAGCCUCAGAGAUGAGGCCUCUCCGCAAGGAGUCUGUUUACAGGUGCUGCAUGGCUGUCGUCAGCUCGUGCCGUGAGGUGUUGGGUUAAGUCCCGCAACGAGCGCAACCCUCAUCUUUAGUUGCCAUCAUUGAGUUGGGAACUCUAAAGAAACUGCCUCGGUUAACGGGGAGGAAGGUGGGGAUGACGUCAAGUCCUCAUGGCCUUUAUGUCCAGGGCUACACACGUGCUACAAUGGGCGGUACAAAGGGUUGCAAUCCCGCAAGGGGGAGCUAAUCUCAAAAAACCGUUCUCAGUUCAGAUUGGAGUCUGCAACUCGACUCCAUGAAGGCGGAAUCGCUAG